CCCUAUCUAGAGCCUCUAUUCCUCAUUUUCCCGCCAAAAGUUGCAUCCCUUUGUUUUCCCUGUGGUGCAUGGGUCAUACGGACCCGUUUUCUAAUAUGGGUCAUAAUCACGCGUGCCUAUAUAUUGUUAUAACCCGUAUAAACACUUCAAUUCUCAUAUCGCACUAGGGUUUCAGCUUCUUCACCACGCUUCCACCUCCCUCAUUCACAUUCUGCCUCCAUGAAGAAACCCUAGCCGCCUCCCUGUGAAGGAACAUCAUGAAAAAACUAAAUCAAGUUAUUCAUCUUCUUUUUGUAUAAUUCAGUUCUAGAUCCAAAUGGAUCAAGUUUUUGUUUUUGUUUUCAUCUGUCGUCUGCUCAUUCAAGCUCACAAUUGGGGGAACAAAUUUUAGGGUUUGUUAAAGGAGAUGGUUAGAACUCAGAACGACGGCAAUGGAUUGGAAUUCAGGGUUCUUCGAUAUCGUUCUGAAUAACAAUGGUCAUCCAAUAUUACGGUUGUUGAUUCGCGUGUCGCAGGAUUUAGGGUUUCGUGUUAACCAGGACUCAAGGCGCUUAAUCUAUCUGAACGAAUGACUGAGGGAGAAAGCUCUUGAAAAGUAGGUUAGAAGUCAGUUUGGAUUUUAGUAGGGGAAAUGUUCAGGUACACAGUGUUUUUAGAAAGUCAAAUUCAAGGGAUACAUUCAAAGUGGACCAAAAUUCAGAGCCCGUUUUCAUCUCAGAUUAUGGAUUGUUCAGACAACUUCAAAGAUCAAAAGAAUUCUGGUAUGUACCUAAAAUGCAGACGAAUCACAAAAAGAUGGUGGAUACCUCGGGUAAAGGUUCCUCCAGGAGGACUUUCAGAUGAAUCAAGAAAAUGGUAUGAACAUCAAAAGAAUAUUUACAACCAAGCUCUUAAAGCUUCCAUGACCAGAAAUGCGCAAGUUCAUUGAGAAAUGGAGGUCCCAGAGACCUACAUUGAUUCCAUGCCAAAGGUAAUUUUGUAUAUUUAAAAAAUAUUCUUUUUGUUAGGUAUGAAUUUUGACGCAGUUUCAUUUAUUAGUACCAUGUUUUUUUUUUGUUUUUUUUUUAAGAAAUAGAAUAAACAUUGCAUUUUGAAAAUGUGGAACAAGGUAUACCGCAAACAUUGGUACUUCAGUUUAAUUUGCCCUUGAUGUGUUGCUUAAUUGCCAUACUGUACUAAGUUCCGAGUAAGUGUUUUUCUUCGGAUUA